rnacentral:rRNA from 1 species
UACGUAGGGGGCAAGCGUUGUCCGGAAUUAUUGGGCGUAAAGAGCGCGUAGGCGGUCCGAUAAGUCGGCUGUGAAAGUCAGGGGCUCAACCCUUGAAAGCCGGCCGAUACUGUCGGACUAGAGUCCGGAAGAGGCAAGUGGAAUUCCCGGUGUAGCGGUGAAAUGCGCAGAUAUCAGGAAGAACACCAAUGGCGAAAGCAGCUUUCUGGGACGGUACUGACGCUGAGACGCGAAAGCGUGGGGAGCAAACAGG